rnacentral:rRNA from 1 species
GACGAACGCUGGCGGCGUGCCUAAUACAUGCAAGUCGAGCGAAUCGAUAGGAGCUUGCUCCCAGAAAUUAGCGGCGGACGGGUGAGUAACACGUGGGCAACCUGCCUAUAAGACUGGGAUAACUUCGGGAAACCGGAGCUAAUACCGGAUACGUUCUUUUCUCGCAUGAGAAAAGAUGGAAAGACGGCCUCUAGCUGUCACUUAUAGAUGGGCCCGCGGCGCAUUAGCUAGUUGGUGAGGUAAUGGCUCACCAAGGCGACGAUGCGUAGCCGACCUGAGAGGGUGAUCGGCCACACUGGGACUGAGACACGGCCCAGACUCCUACGGGAGGCAGCAGUAGGGAAUCUUCCGCAAUGGACGAAAGUCUGACGGAGCAACGCCGCGUGAACGAAGAAGGCCUUCGGGUCGUAAAGUUCUGUUGUUAGGGAAGAACAAGUACCAGAGUAACUGCUGGUACCUUGACGGUACCUAACCAGAAAGCCACGGCUAACUACGUGCCAGCAGCCGCAGUAAGAC